UGACUCAGGAGAGGCGGCAC
rnacentral:misc_RNA from 1 species